rnacentral:tRNA from 1 species
CAUCAAGAAGCUAAUUUAGCAUUAACCUUUUAAGUUAAAGAUUGAGAGCCCCACCCUCUCCUUGAUGG